rnacentral:tRNA from 1 species
GGUUGUGUAGUGUAGUGGUCAUCACUCCGGAUUUUGAUCACAUCAAAAUCGAGUUUUCCGGCAACCCCGGUUCGAACCCGGGCACGACCU